rnacentral:rRNA from 1 species
AGCGAACGCUGGCGGCAGGCCUAACACAUGCAAGUCGAACGGAUCCUUCGGGAUCAGUGGCGGACGGGUGAGUAACACGUGGGAACGUGCCCUUUGGUUCGGAACAACUCAGGGAAACUUGAGCUAAUACCGGAUGUGCCCUUCGGGGGAAAGAUUUAUCGCCAUUGGAGCGGCCCGCGUCUGAUUAGCUAGUUGGUGAGGUAAAGGCUCACCAAGGCGACGAUCAGUAGCUGGUCUGAGAGGAUGAUCAGCCACAUUGGGACUGAGACACGGCCCAACCUCCUCCGGGAGGCAGCAGUGGGGAAUCUUGCGCAAUGGGCGAAAGCCUGACGCAGCCAUGCCGCGUGAAUGAUGAAGGUCUUAGGAUUGUAAAAUUCUUUCACCGGGGACGAUAAUGACGGUACCCGGAGAAGAAGCCCCGGCUAACUUCGUGCCAGCCGCCGCGGUAAUAC